GACAAACGCUGGCGGCGUGCUUAAUACAUGCAAGUCGAACGAGAAGGCACUACCUUUGUGCGGUCCUGGAGUGGCGAACUGGUUAGUCACCCGUGCGUAACCGGCUCUCGCCUUUGGGGUAACUUCAGUAAACUAGAGCUCAUCCCUGAUAUGAGCUCCUGCUGCAUGGGGGGGGUUUCGCAGUUUCGGCGGUUGGGGAUUGACUCGCGGCGUUUCUGCGUGAUGGGGGGGUAGAGGCUUACAAAGGUUUUGACUGGUAGCCGGACUGAGAGGGUGACCGGAGACAUUGGGACUGAGAUACGGCCCAGAGUCCUACGGGAGACAGAAGUGGGGAGAAUUGCAGAAUGGGCGGAAGACUGAUGCAGAAAAGCCGCGUGCGGGAUGACGGCCUUCGGGUUGUAAACCGCUUUCGCCUGUGACGAAGCGUGAGUGACGGUAAUGGGUAAAGAAGGACCGGCUAACUACGUG
rnacentral:rRNA from 1 species